rnacentral:rRNA from 1 species
GACGAACGCUGGCGGCGUGCCUAAUACAUGCAAGUAGAACGCUGAAGGAGGAGCUUGCUCUUCUGGAUGAGUUGCGAACGGGUGAGUAACGCGUAGGUAACCUGCCUGGUAGCGGGGGAUAACUAUUGGAAACGAUAGCUAAUACCGCAUAACAGUAGAUGUUGCAUGACAUUUGCUUAAAAGGUGCAAUUGCACCACUACCAGAUGGACCUGCGUUGUAUUAGCUAGUUGGUGGGGUAACGGCUCACCAAGGCGACGAUACAUAGCCGACCUGAGAGGGUGAUCGGCCACGCUGGGACUGAGACACGGCCCAGACUCCUACGGGAGGCAGCAGUAGGGAAUCUUCGGCAAUGGACGGAAGUCUGACCGAGCAACGCCGCGUGAGUGAAGAAGGUUUUCGGAUCGUAAAGCUCUGUUGUAAGAGAAGAACGAGUGUGAGAGUGGAAAGUUCACACUGUGACGGUAUCUUACCAGAAAGGGACGGCUAACUACGUG